rnacentral:rRNA from 1 species
AGAGUUUGAUCAUGGCUCAGGAUGAACGUUGGCGGCGUGCCUAAUACAUGCAAGUCGAACGAAGACUGUAGUAAUACUGUCUUAGUGGCGAACGGGUGAGUAACGCGUGGGUGACCUGCCCCGAAGUGUGGGAUAACAGUUCGAAAGAACUGCUAAUACCGCAUAAUAUCCAGGAGAUUAGAUGCUUCUGGAUUAAAGGAGUAAUUCGCUUCGGGAGGGGCCCGCGUCCCAUCAGCUAGUUGGUAAGGUAAUGGCUUACCAAGGCGAUGACGGGUAGGGGACCUGAGAGGGUGGCCCCCCACAAUGGAACUGAAACACGGUCCAUACACCUACGGGUGGCAGCAGUAGGGAAUAUUAGUAAUGGGCGAAAGCCUGAACUAGCAACGCCGCGUGUGCGAAGAAGGCCUUCGGGUUGUAAAGCACUUUUUGAGAGGAUGAGGAAGGACGGUACUCUCAGAAUAAGUCUCGGCUAACUACGUGCCAGCAGCCGCGGUAACACGUAGGAGGCAAACGUUAUCCGGAUUUACUGGGCGUAAAGCGCGUGUAGGUGGUUUGGUAAGUAGGGCGUGAAAGCUCCUGGCUCAACUGGGAGAGGACGUCCUAAACUGCCAAGCUUGAGGAUGGUAGAGGGAGGUGGAAUUCCGGGUGUAGCGGUGGAAUGCGCAGAUAUCCGGAGGAACACCAGUGGCGAAGGCGGCCUCCUGGACCACUCCUGACACUCAGACGCGAAAGCUAGGGUAGCAAACGGGAUUAGAGACCCCGGUAGUCCUAGCCCUAAACGAUGUAGACUUGGCGUCGGUGGUUUAAUCGCCAUCGGUGUCGUAGCUAACGCGUUAAGUCUACCGCCUGGGGACUACGGCCGCAAGGUUAAAACUCAAAGGAAUUGACGG